UCGACAUUUUCACAGAGCAGGAGAGGGUUUCUCCUUUCAAACCCUAAACUCAUCAAAAUUGCUCAAAAUCAAAAGGGAAAUCAAGCUAAGAAUUGGGGAUUUAACUAAAUUCGUGAUCACCUAAGCUAGGAGAUCACAAGUUUGACGCUUAAUGAGCUAGGUGGGAGCUCGGGAAGGAAGCGGAUCAAACAAGUUAAACAUGAAGAAAAGCAUAACCGGAUGCAAGGAAAUAACAUAUGUUGCGUUGCUUUAACUAGAAAAUGUAAAGCAAGAGGUAUGUAAAUGGGUCAAUGCUAUGACCCGAGCCAGGUACACAUAAUUAGAUUUAUAGUUGAAAGUAGU